rnacentral:rRNA from 1 species
AGAGUUUGAUCAUGGCUCAGAACGAACGCUGGCGGCGUGCUUAACACAUGCAAGUCGAACGCGAAAGUUUUCUUCGGAAAACGAGUAGAGUGGCGCACGGGUGAGUAACGCGUAAGUUAUCUACCCUCCCAUCUGGAAUAACCCACCGAAAGGUGUGCUAAUACCGGAUACGUUGGAAACAAGAAAGGUGGCCUCUAUUUAUAAGCUACCGUGGGGGGAUGAGCUUGCGUACCAUUAGCUAGUUGGUAGGGUAAUGGCCUACCAAGGCGACGAUGGUUAGCGGGUCUGAGAGGAUGAUCCGCCACACUGGAACUGAAACACGGACCAGACUCCUACGGGAGGCAGCAGUGAGGAAUAUUGCGCAAUGGGGAAACCCUGACGCAGCGACGCCGCGUGGAUGAUGAAGGCCCUUGGGUCGUAAAAUCCUGUCAGUUGGGAAGAAAUGCAUAUUGGCCAAUACCCAUUAUGUUUGACGGUACCAGCAAAGGAAGCACCGGCUAACUCCGUGCCAGCAGCCGCGGUAAUACGGAGGGUGCAAGCGUUGUUCGGAAUUACUGGGCGUAAAGCGCACGUAGGUGGUCUAUUAAGUCAGAUGUGAAAGUCCCUGGCUCAACUGGGGAAGUGCAUAUGAAACUGGUAGACUUGAGUACUGGAGGGGGAA